CCUUUCUUGGCAGUCAUGCUAUAGUCUUUGAGGUGGUCUUCUCUGAAGGCAAGACUAGAGCCUUGUCUUUGUCAGGAGCCUCCUGCUGGUCCUAGACAGUAUCCCAGGUUCCCACUUUGAUGUCUCUUUGGCAUUGAGCACAGCAGUCACAGGCUGGACCAGCAGCGGAAGCCCGGGCUUGGAUGUUAGUGAGCUGAGCGCUAGCUCCGUCUCCAUGCUGAGUCAUCAGCUUUCAGCCUGCUCAUGCGUUUUCCCGCCAGAAAGUAUGUACAGUUACAUCGAUACCUUCAGUUCUGUAGAGCCUCGGGGGAGUCAGAGAACUUCAGGUGGAUCCACGUGUGCUGGUGGGCGGGGCAGCUUGCAUCCUCUCUUUCCCUGAGCCUCUCUCUCCCAGGAAGUUCCAUUGUUUUUGUUAAAAAUUAUGGACUAUUUUAAAUAGACAGAAAUGACUGAUUGUAGCAUAACAAAUUUAACAGAUGCUGCCGUUUUGCCCUAUUGCCUGUCAUUUUUUUUUUGGACUAAAGGUUGCUGAUAAGCUAGUGCUCUGAGGUGCUUUUCAACUCUUUUUUAUUGAAGUUUUAGGAUCAGGGAAGUAACAAAAUCUGUGGUCCACUUACAGAAAUUUCUCUAAAGAA